UUCGGCACCACAUAUACUAAAAAAAUAAUAAUUUGAAUGAUGCAGAGAAGAUUAGGAUGGCCCCUACGCAAGGAUGACAAACAAAUUUGUGAAGUGCUCCAUAUUUUU
rnacentral:snRNA from 1 species